AUUGAACGCUGGCGGCAUGCCUUACACAUGCAAGUCGAACGGUAACAGGCCGCAAGGUGCUGACGAGUGGCGAACGGGUGAGUAAUGCAUCGGAACGUGCCCAGUCGUGGGGGAUAACGCAGCGAAAGCUGUGCUAAUACCGCAUACGAUCUGUGGAUGAAAGCGGGGGACCGAAAGGCCUCGCGCGAUUGGAGCGGCCGAUGUCAGAUUAGGUAGUUGGUGGGGUAAAGGCUCACCAAGCCAACGAUCUGUAGCUGGUCUGAGAGGACGACCAGCCACACUGGGACUGGGACACGGCCCAGACUCCUACGGGAGGCAGCAGUGGGGAAUUUUGGACAAUGGGCGCAAGCCUGAUCCAGCAAUGCCGCGUGCAGGAAGAAGGCCUUCGGGUUGUAAACUGCUUUUGUACGGAGCGAAAAGGCUCUCUCUAAUACAGGGGGCUCAUGACGGUACCGUAAGAAUAAGCACCGGCUAACUACGUGCCAGCAGCCGCAGUAAUAC
rnacentral:rRNA from 1 species